UCCUUUGAAUGAUACAGAUUCAGCUUUGAUAUAUAAUAAUACAAGAAAUGUUAUGUUUACUACUGUAAUUGAUUAUACAGAAGCAGAUGCAGAUUCAAAGGUUGUCGGCCCCUUCUUCCUCUUCAUGCGCU